UACGUAGGUGGCAAGCGUUGUCCGGAAUUAUUGGGCGUAAAGAGCGUGUAGGCGGUUAUGCAGGUCCGCUGUGAAAACUGGAGGCUUAACCUCCAGACGUCGGUGGAAACCGUAUAACUAGAGUCCGGAAGAGGAGAGUGGAAUUCCUGGUGUAGCGGUGAAAUGCGCAGAUAUCAGGAGGAACACCGGUGGCGAAGGCGGGUCUCUGGGCCGAUACUGACGCUGAGGAGCGAAAGCGUGGGGAGCGAACAGG
rnacentral:rRNA from 1 species